UCCCCGAUAGCUCGAAGUUGUAGAGCACUCUAAUUGUUAAUCGAGUUGUCACAGGUUCGAGCCCUGUUCGGGAGCCA
rnacentral:tRNA from 1 species